GAAGGGGGCUAGCGUUGUUCGGAAUUACUGGGCGUAAAGGGCGCGUAGGCGGUGUGUCAAGUCAGGCGUGAAAGCCCCGGGCUCAACCUGGGAACGGCGCUUGAGACUGGCACGCUCGAGUUCGGGAGAGGAUGGUGGAAUUCCCAGUGUAGAGGUGAAAUUCGUAGAUAUUGGGAAGAACACCGAUGGCGAAGGCAGCCAUCUGGACCGACACUGACGCUGAGGCGCGAAAGCGUGGGGAGCAAACAGGAUUAGAUACCCUGGUAGUCCACGCCGUAAACGAUGAGUGCUAGACGUCGGGGCUCCUGGAGCUUCGGUGUCGCAGCCAACGCCUUAAGCACUCCGCCUGGGGAGUACGGCCGCAAGGUUAAA
rnacentral:rRNA from 1 species